rnacentral:lncRNA from 1 species
AUGCCAGCAAAGCUAUUAGUCUAUACUUCUUUCAACAGGCAACGGGCUGGCCAGUGUGAUGGGGCAUACGGAGAGGAGAGGCAAGAGAGGAGGCGUCUUUCAUUCAAUAGCUUGAAUACUGAUUUACUGUUGAGACACAGACAGGUGCAGUCUGCAGAUGUAUACUGUGUGUGGCCUACAGCACUGUAUACCGCAAGGGCUGAAUCACAGGAGGACACUCAUGCCUCUCCGGAAGGAAACCCUCAGAGAUGUCUGGACAGACGACCGGUCUCAAGAAAGUCAAGAUAUGUCCACUCCACAUAAGGUAAAAGACAAUCAUACCAAGUUUUAAAAUAUAAAAAGAUACCUACAGCAGGGUGUGCCUUUGCGUACAUUUUUAAGACACUUGUUGUCCAUUUUACGUGUGUGUGUGUGUGUGUGUGUGUCUGUGUGUGUCCUUUAGUUCCUGUGUUGUGUCCGAGGUCAAAUUUGGUUAGUAAUGAGUCACAUCGACCAUUACAUUCACAGGGGGGGGGGGGGGGGGUCCGUUACCACAUGUGUAUAACGGACCUGUGUUUGUCCUCUGUCCUCUAAGGACACCUCCUCCCCCCCCCGCCAUGUUGGUUCGUCCCGUUGACGUGUCUCUGCCUUUGAAGAGCUGAUGACUUUACACAUAAAUCCUAUUAGCAACUUUCUGCUGAUUGCCAGCCAUUGAGUCCCAGGCUACUCACUCGCUUUAUUAUCUCCAUUGUGUUGAAUUUCCCCCCUCCCUCUUCCUUUUAAACUAAAAACUUUUAGGGAAAAGAGGAGUCUGUAGUUUGUUAGAGCUGAAGUCACUGGCCACACAAUGUCUGCAGAGAAGGUAACGUUAUCGAAACUGUUUUGAGGGGCUUUUCUUGUCGAAGGGACGCCGGAGAGAAGGAAUACUCGCGAUGGGUCCUAUAAAGUUAAUAACAUUUCUCAUAUAGCAUUUUGAUUCAUUCGGAUAUACUGUAAUGGUGUUUACGAUGACUACGGGUUAAAUUACUUGCCCUCUUGAUUGGUAGACAAUUCAGUGGAUAGAAAACCGGUUGAGUGAUUGAGCAUGCUGCUGUGGUAUUGUUACAGUUCUAAAGUGACUGGUUUACCCCAGCCUGUUGUGCGUCGUGAGUAGCCCUUGCUCACAGGAGUAGGACGGGAGCCUCCUGUUUCGUAGCGUGAGGCAGCUUCAGUUAAAAAGGACACCCUCUGGAU